UGCCGAACUCUGCUCUCCGCCAUCAUGUUGAUUCAAAAAGGAAUCCUCCAACACUGGAGCUCCUGAUUUGUGUUGAUUGUUUACCUCUAAAGGGAAUGCCAACAGUCAUAGUGAAGCAGGCAACUUCAAAUAAAAUGCAUUUUGAGCAAUGUGAGUUGAUGGGAUGCCAAGAGCAUUGUUUUCUCAAACUACUCAGUUUUUAUUGGUCUCAAGAAUUUGCCACUCAAAAGAACAAGCAUUCUAUCUUCGAUCUGGAUGCCCCCCAAA